rnacentral:rRNA from 1 species
GGGCCCGCACAAGCGGUGGAGCAUGUGGUUCAAUUCGACGCAACGCGAAGAACCUUACCCAGGCUUGAACAGCGAGUGACACACUCCGAAAGGAGUCUUCCGCAAGGACACUCGUAGAGGUGCUGCAUGGCUGUCGUCAGCUCGUGUCGUGAGAUGUUGGGUUAAGUCCCGCAACGAGCGCAACCCUUGUCUUCUGUUGCCAUCAGGUUAUGCUGGGCACUCUGAAGAGACUGCCGGUGAUAAACCGGAGGAAGGUGGGGAUGACGUCAAGUCAGCAUGGCCUUUAUGUCUGGGGCUACACACGUGCUACAAUGGCCGGUACAAACCGUCGCGAUACCGUAAGGUGGAGCUAAUCGGAGAAAGCCGGUCUCAGUUCGGAUAGCAGGCUGCAACUCGCCUGCUUGAAGUUGGAAUCGCUAGUAAUCGCGGAUCAGCACGCCGCGGUGAAUACGUUCCCGGGCCUU